rnacentral:pre_miRNA from 1 species
CGGGAGUGUGUCGUGAAAAAAGUCGCCGGAGUUGAUGUUGCGGUCACAUUUGCAGUUCGGUUUGUUCGUUCGGCUUGAGUUAGUUUGACAGUCAAAUAGCG